UCUCCAUGUAUAUGUAUUUUUUGUGGAGGACAGGGAUCAGGGUGAGUGUCUGUUAAUUCAGAUCCAGAGGCCAAUCUUUUAUUUUGAGGGACUGUCUGCAACGUGGCAUGGCAUCAUUUACCAGACAGCCGCGUCUGUGGAAUCCCCGUGUCCCCCGAGUGCUGGUGGGGCAGGGACCAUGUGGGGUUCACCUGUAUCCUGGUGACAACCCCUUACCGGGUCUUCUGCAGAGAAGCUUCUCACAGUGCAUUUGUUGAACCGAAUUGAAAGACCGACCUGGCUCAGGCAUCCGAGGCCACUGAAACCCCCAGCCUCAGUGUCCAUGCCCGAGCCCUGCUGGUGCCAACCCCGUUCCUGCCUAUUUCCUGUUCCGGACAGAAAACAAACAUCCGUAGCUGGGUAGUCCCCUGGCAACAGUGAUGCCAUAGGAACUGAGACUCAGCACUCACUAUGCACCAGAGACCGUGCUGGGCACGGUUGUUUUCUGGGAUCCUUACAGCAGCUCGAGGUGGGGGGGUAUGUUCCUUACUGUUACUAUUUCCAUUUGGCAGCCAAAGAAGAGUGAGGCUUAGAGAACAAGGGCUAAGGGCUCGUGGCCCAGAGCUGGGAGGGGGUCGACCCAGCACUCAGGUUGGUUUCUGUUGUCUGAUUCUGGAUACCCGUUGCCCUUCAUCGUGAUCCCGACCCACCGGACUGGACCUUUAAGCACCGAAUGUUCUAGAAAAGAAGAGGGAUUUCCCAGUGCACCCAAAGCAAACUUAGAGACCAAUGGGCUGAACGGUCUUAAAACCUGGCUGUGGCCAGCCCUUUGGACGACUCCAACAGACCCACGUGUCCUGCGGUUCAACUUUCCAAACCCACCCUGUUUGUGAUCCCUUGGCAGGAUUCUGGGCCCUGCCGUCAGAUUUCAGCUUUACAGUUAAUCAAAAAUAUUUUGAUCCAAA